rnacentral:rRNA from 1 species
AUUGAACGCUGGCGGCAGGCCUAACACAUGCAAGUCGAACGAGUGGCGGACGGGUGAGUAAUGUCUGGGAAACUGCCUGAUGGAGGGGGAUAACUACUGGAAACGGUAUCUAAUACCGCAUACCAUCAGAUGUGCCCAGAUGGGAUUAGCUUGUUGGUGGGGUAACGGCUCACCAAGGCGACGAUCCCUAGCUGGUCGGAGUGGAUGACCAGCUACACUGGAAUUGAGACAGGGUCCAGACUCCUCAGGGAGGCAGAAUUGGGGAAUAUUGCAAAAUGGGCGCAAGCCUGAUGCAGCCAGGCCGAGUGUAUGAAGAAGGCCUUCGGGUUGUAAAGUACUUUCAGCGGGGAGGCGUUACCCGCAGAAGAAGCACCGGCUAACUCCGUGCCAGCAGCCGCGGUAAUUC